AUGAAACCAUGAAUGAAAACCUUGAAUUCCUCUCUCGUGAAGUUUGUUUCCCCCUUUUUUUUUUCUUUCUAUGGCUUGGAGUUUUCCAAUAUUGUUGUUUUCUUGUAGCGCAUCUAUAGUGUGUUGUGAGUUAAUAUAUAAUAGUGCAUGUAUGUAGUUGUGUCAUGUGUGUGUUCCAGAAAAAGGUGGGACGUGGGAAAGGUUAGUGUGAGGGAGUUUAGGGAGUGGUUUGGAGGGAGUGGGUAUGUGGGGGAGUAGUUUAGGGUUUCUUUUUUUUCUUUUUUUUUUUAAAAUUAUUUUAAAAUUAAUGUUUUAAAUAAAAAUAAAGAAAAAAUAAAAUAAAAUUUAUCUAAAACCAAUAAAAUAUAAGUUAAAUAAUUAGUCUUAAAACAUGAUUUCGAAGUAUUAAUAUCACUAAAUUAUUUAUUAAUUAGGUGUUUACAGAUUUUAAUAAUAACAAACUAAUUAUCGAUAAUAUGCAGGAUACACGAAGAUGUAAUCAAGGCAAAAAAAAUCAUCAUGGAGCUAAACUUGGAGAAGCAUCUCGUGUAAUCCCUAACUAUAAAAAAGUCAUAGCUCGAUUUGGAAUAACAUCAAUAAAAGAUCUCAUUAGAUCCCAAAAUACAAGGAAGACAAUUGGCAAAUUACAGAGUAACAUGAAAAGAAGAUGUCAUAAGAUGCCAAAUCAGGAUAAAUCUUUGUGUUAUUUUCUUACUUGCUUAUUUAUUUACAAAUUUGAGUUUGCUCUAUUUUGACUAUCAAGGCUAAUUAGUCGACUCAGAAAAAGUUUUAAAUUUACCCUCAGUCUUCUUGAAUUUUACGUCAUUGUUAGCCUUGAUCUAUUACACUCUCUUUUGAGUUGGCAAUCUUUCAUCUUAAUUUUAUCUCUAAGACAAUGCCUACUGCAUUUUGGUUCUAAUUCUACCUAACUCACGUUGCCCUAAUCUAUAUCCAAGUUAUUUUACCCCAUAUAAAUAGUCCCUCCAUUUUUCAGGAGUAGUAUCAUUGCGGGCAGGAGACGAAAAAGCAAAAUAAAAGAAGCCUUUGUCCGACCAACGCUGGCAUACUUACUUAAAUAUUGAGCGGCAUUUUGAUUCUGUAGCGUAGUUCUUUUGAUAAAGUAUAUUAUUUCACUCCUCAUAUGAUCUUGGUCCCAAUUAUAGGUUGACAGCUUUGAGGCCAUGCACUCGACACUAUAGUUUUGUCUCGAAUAUUUUUCUAUAGUUUUGUCUCGAAUAUUUUUUCUUUUUGAUGUGAAAAAUGAGCAGGCGCCUAUUAAUCUUAACGAUUUCUAUCUUCCUCUUUUCUCGUUUAUUAGCUGCUGGAACUCGCAGAAUAUUCUCCCAUGUUAUCUAAAACUGCGCCCUUAGAAAUAAUAGAAAGGCUCUUGAUGUUUCGUCUACUGAGUCUUUUCACAUCUUUUGCGGAUAGCCAUUUAUGUGUCCUUUAUUCAGGUUCUUCCCUUUUUUCCUACUUGACAAUUCCUUGCCUAUAAAUUCUAGGCUUUUUUGACUCUUUCUCUAUAUAUGUUCUCUCUUCAAGCCAUCUUAUAUUAGAAAAAUAAAAUGACAAGUUCUCUCGAUGCUAAUACAUUUACCCUUAGUAUUUCUUAUAGUCCUUGAUUUAUUAUUAUCUUAGACCCCAGUGAACUAUUUAUUGUGUCACUGCUCAAGAUUGCAAUGAGAGUGAGGAAAGGACUAUGGACAAAACCUAGAGUGAAGGUGGUGGUUAAUCUCAGACCAACCACACCUCUCUGCAGCGAUCAUUGCUUUUUUCUUUGAUGUUGAGAUCCAUUAGCUCUAUAGAAGGUACCUGACCAUGGCAAGGGACUCCACACUCUGAGUGACUCAUACUAACCUCUGAUGGCAUACCCAAUGCAAGGAAAAACCUGCCCUCUCCAAAUGUUUAUAAAGAUACAUUAUUAUGAGGGUGCCCGUCCUACACAUCUACUCCAUUCAUCGACUUUGAUUUCUAUCAAAAGUGUAGUUAUAUUAUAUCGUAAUCAUUAGGAGGAGCGGAUGAAUUUUGUUUCCAAAGGUCCCUUAGCUAGGACGAGUACUUCUUUCAAAGAGAACAGGGGAUGCUCGAGCACCGUGAUCUGAGGUACUCUCUAUCUGCUUCCAAGGGAGGGAAACACAACUAGAAACUUCUUGAGCUAGAUUUUUUCCGAAUACCAAUCGACUGUUUCUUUCUACCACAUGUGCUUUUAUCUUUGUUGUAUAUUAGAAUUCAAAGUUUCUUGUAUCAUGUGACCUUUUUCCUCAUUUUAGGGAUAGUACUGUAACAACCAUAAAUGAAGCUUUUAUUUACUUAAUUCUUCAUUUAAUCCCUACUGAGUUUACCUAUCACCUUUGUGAAUAUUUCUUUUGAGCCAAUCAUGUAGUUUUCAAAGAAAUGACCAUGUUCAUGCCCCAACUUUAGGCCAAUGAUUUUUCUUUUUGGAAACAUAAUUGUCGCAUCUCUUUCCCCUUCUAGUUUACCUUUCUAAGCAUUUGCCCCUAAACGAACAAACAACAUUAUCAUCUCAGAGUCCCUAGUUUGGGUCAUCUAUGUUUGAACGACUGCCUAAUGUCAUAGAUAGUUUUCACUUUUAUGGAGGAAAGACUUCUGAGAAUUCUACUGUGACAUGAGGGUUUAGGCCUUUGUAUGCUAUCUUUUUAUUUGCCUUAAUGUCUUUUAAGGAUACCUUAUCAGCAACCUCGGCUUGGGCUAAUCGAGACUUUGUAGAGUCCAAGAUCUAAGCUAAUUUUUUGGUUUGGUUAGUCUCUUACAACACGGGAAAUUUUUUCCCUCUCAGAAGUGUGGCAUCUUUCGUCUGUCUUAACGUGGAUCAUUUAAAUUUGCCUUGAGCUUUAUGCUAGAUAUCUUGAGAUGAGCCCUUAUACAAAGUCUUACAUUAGUCGACUAGAUUCCUUGACUUUCUACCCCUUCAUUUUUUCAGACCAAGACUCCAACUACCUCGAGAUCUAAAUUAUUAAAUCUUGAGUUGGGAAAAUUUCAAGGCCUCUGUCAUGGCCCAAACUAGGUUCUGGCCGUGAUGGGUAUCUCAAGUACAACAAGGACCGGAGACUACCCCUUUCUCCUAGCCAAACAAAACACAAUACCCCUAACGUCGAUUGAAUUCUGAACAUUAACAAGAUAGCAUAAGACAAGCUCAAAGAAAUCAAGCUUUGUCUAUAAUCGAUAAUCGAUAACCUACCAAAACAACCAACCAAUAUCACCACCCAAGUCCACAGUAAUCCACAAAGCCUUCUAACAAAAUCAAAAUCAUUAAAGUGUCGGGACAUGACCCCGACCCUGACAAUGACAAUGACAAUAUGAACUAUCAAUUCUAAUCUAUGAAAUAAAAGAUGACAAAAUGCCCAAGUCUUUUGGUGAAUGGAAGCUCACCACUUCACCAUAAUGAUUGACGAACCGAGCUGAUCCACCUAAUCACUACACAAGAUAAGAAGAAGUAUCUCUGGUGCCUGCAUCGCGUGGGCAUAUAAUGUCUGAAUAUGGUUAGUGGGUUGAGCACUAGUGCGUGUAGCCACACGAACCAGAGGAUAUACAUAUGCACCACGGGGAACCUUCCUGCAUACCAAGGUGACUUAAGCACCCAAUCGUGUAAUAUAAUAUGGAAGAAUCGAACCUUCUAAUCAUAUAGUAAGGGAGACUCAAACCAUCUGACCAUUUUGACCCCCGCAUCGGCAAUCGCAGUUUCUAGUAUCGGCCCCUCAGGACCUCCACUUUCAUGAAUCAGCUACACAAUCCUCUUUUAAUCACCAUUAAAAUAUUUUCAUACAUUCGAAUUCAUUGAACCAUAAUACACAUUUAGGCAUGUACUGUUGGUAUCAUCAUACUAACUAUACUUGCAAGGUAACAUCAAUAUGCCAAACCAAUUAUCAUCACUUGGGGGAAUUCACAACCCCCUUGGUUUAAUUAUACAUUAGCUUAGGAAAUUACACAACUCCAUAAGGUUCAAAAUCAUUUGUUUCAUUAGCUUUUCACAUUAUGCAAUAGUUCAAAAAUAGUUCAGUAUGCAUAAUUUUCAUAUUCAAAACCAAUUUCACAAUAUAGGGUUGAGGUCAUUACCACUUCAAUUGUCAAUAUUUACAAAAUUAGGAGAAAUCACAAUCCCCUAGUUUAUUCACCAUAACCAUGCACCCCACAAGUUCAAAACCCUUAAUAAAGCAUGAACAAUCAUAUGUAAACCGUGAGAAACAUUGUUUAGACACAAACAUUGAAAACUCCUCAACCCAUGUUCCAAAACCAAUCAAAACCACAUGAAUUGUAAUUUAAAACCCAUAAUUUAACAAAAUAAUAAUGGGGGAAGAGUAACAUACCUAAAACACCAAUUUUUAUAAAGAGAAUUCAAUCCUUGAGCCCUUAGAUGACUUACUUCUUGGAAACCCUAAGUAUCUUGACUUGGAGAGUUUUGAGAGAAGAAAAUGUGUUUUUGAUUAUGUUAUGAAUGAGAAAUAAUCCACUUGAGUGCUUUAUGGACAUGGGGUUUUAAUUGGGUAAGAAGGAAAUUGUCUAAAGUGCCCUAGACUUAAAAGCUGAAAAAUUAUCGUAGUGACUACGGGUCACACUGCGACACGUUACGACUUAUCACCGCGAAUUGUAGCCAAGACAGUUCCAUUAGACACACAUAUUGCUGGCCUUACGACUUAUAUUCAUAUGACUCGUUAGGGGUCCCUACGACUCGUAGGGUCAUAGUCGUCACUAGGACAUCAACACUUGGAACAUAUACUGGUUUGACUACGGUUGGGACAUCAUGACUCGUAAUGAGUCCAUAUGACUCAUUAGGAGACACUCAUACUCAAAACAGAAAACUUAUCCACUCACGCUAGUUAGGCUACAAUUGGGUCCUAACAAUUCGUCAAGACUCCCUACUACUCUUAAGGGUAGUCAUAGUCAGAACAGUGAGUAUAAAACUUCAGAAACUUUCAAGGGUAAAAACUUCGAGGUGUUGCAGCCUCGAUUUCCAAGUACCAUUAUUUUUGGUUUUAUCCUAAUUAAUUGAGCCACCUAUGUGGCAAUUAUCUAGGUUCUUUGACCAUUCCCACAUUUAACAAGGUUUUCACUGUAAAUGAAUGCCUUUUAGACCUAGUGCCACAGUUUCUCCCACCUUGUUGUUGAGAAAGAAAAUAAUUAGUAUAGAUCUUGUCCCCUUUUUCUUUCAUGGCGCUCCUCUCUAGCUUUCUUGAUUAUCUUGGUUUUGAGUCAAGUGUCUCUCAUAGUUUUUUUUUCUUAUCCUUGUUUUUUAUCUCAAAGUUUGUCUUAGGGUGACUUCAUUGCGGUUGUAGGCGAGGGUAAGGUACAAACUAUGGGCGAGAGAGGACUAUAACAGAUUCCCUCGCUCUUACGGCGGAUGCAGAUAUAGAAGGCUCAACAGGUUGUAUCGAUUCACUUUGCAGGCAUGUCUUUUCAAAAGAACAAUAAUGCCAGUGAAUAAAAUUACACAGUGACAUCUACAUGGGGCCAUGGUGCCUCUUCCUUAGUUUUGUAUUUUUUAUUUCUUAUAUGAAAGCUUUAUACUGAUUUUCUUUCUAUAAUAAAUUUAGUAUGUGUUAAUUUUAUGGUAUGUUUUUCGCACAUAUAUUUAUUUAUAAACAUAUUUUGUUAAAUUCUUCUCCUCAUGGUUAUGAUUACCUUUUUAUUAGAGUCACUCGAAGGAUUGGGUCGUUACUGCUGGUUGUACUAUCAAUGUCCGUUAGUAAGUAUUGAAAUGUUUGGAUUGACGAUUGGAGACAUUCACUAACUAUUUUUAAAUUUUGCGUGCUUCCCGCAAUGUCUAAGUUGGUUACAAUUUGACUCUAGGUGCUUUCGACUUUUUU
rnacentral:lncRNA from 1 species